UACGGAGGGUGCAAGCGUUAAUCGGAAUUACUGGGCGUAAAGCGUGCGUAGGUGGUUCGUUAAGUCCGUUGUGAAAGCCCCGAGCUCAACUUGGGAAUUGCAGUGGAUACUGGCGAGCUGGAGUGCGGUAGAGGAAGGUGGAAUUCCCGGUGUAGCGGUGAAAUGCGUAGAGAUCGGGAGGAACACCAGUGGCGAAGGCGGCCUUCUGGACCAGCACUGACACUCAAGCACGAAAGCGUGGGGAGCGAACAGG
rnacentral:rRNA from 1 species